rnacentral:rRNA from 1 species
AGAGUUUGAUCAUGGCUCAGGACAAACGCUGGCGGCGCACAUAAGACAUGCAAGUCGAACGGACUUAACCAUUAGUUUACUAUUGGAGCGGUUAGUGGCGGACUGGUGAGUAACACGUAAGCAACCUGCCUGUUAGAGGGGAACAACAGUUAGAAAUGACUGCUAAUACCGCAUAUGCCUUGAGUAUCGCAUGGUACAAGAGGGAAAGGAGCAAUCCGCUAACAGAUGGGCUUGCGUCUGAUUAGCUAGUUGGUGAGGUAACGGCCUACCAAGGCGACGAUUAGUAGCCGG